rnacentral:rRNA from 1 species
AUGGUCGAAGGCUCGGAGAUGGACAUCACCAACCUCAAGUUCCUCCUUCUUUGCUUCCAACAGAUGUUGGGCCUCAAGAUCAACUUCGAUGAGAGCGAUGUUAUGGUGAUGGGAUAUUCCCCCGCUGAGUCUGUGGCCAUUGCCAACAGACUUAAUUGCCGCCUGGGCUCUUUCCCCACUACCUACCUUGGGACGCCCAUUAGUGACUCGCGCCUCUCUGUCGCAGACCUACGCCCCUCCGUGACCAAGCUCCAGACCAGAUGCGAGCCCUGGCAGGGGAGGUGGCUUUCCAAGGCGGCCCGGACUAUCCUUAUCAACUCCUCCCUCUCCAGCCUCCUCUUGUUUCUUAUGAGUUUCUACAGCCUCCAUGAAUCUCUCCAUAAGGAGAUCGCCAAAAUCCAGUCCCGAUUCUUCUGGGCUGGCGAGCAUGGCAAGCAGAAGUAUCACAUGGUCAGCUGGCCUGACAUCUGCAAGCCCAGGGAGCAGGGUGGAUUGGGCAUCAUGUGCUCUAAACGGAUGAAUAUUGCCCUUCUAUCCCGGUGGCUGUGGCGUAUCACGCAGGGUCAUGGUGGCCUCUGGCUGGACAUUAUCCAGAACAAGUACCUGCGUGGUCAACCCCUUGCCUUCUGCCAGAAAUCGGGAGGUUCUCAGUUCUGGCAGUCCCUCGUCCAGCUUCUUCCGGUGCUCCACAUUGGUACCUCUAUCUCGGUGGGGUCCGGCCUCUCGACGCUCUUCUGGUUUGAUCGCUGGGCCGGCGACUCUCCCUUUGCGGCCCGCUUCCCCACCCUCUUCUCUAUCGCUGUCGUCCCCAUGAUCUCUGUUGAUAGGGCCCUUCUUGACUUAGGGCGCCUCGCUUUCCGUCGGCCAUUUGGGCCGGCGGAAUCCGCCGCCUGGCGUGAGUUGCUUGACUGCGUUGCUCUGCAUGAGCCGGUGGUGGAUGGGGAUCAGGAUCUUGUGCGCUGGCACCUGGAGCCGCCGGGCCAGUUCUCUACCAAAUUGCUAUACUUGGCCAUUUCCCCCUCCUCCGCUCCCCUCCCCCUAUAG